CCCCAAACCCCCCCUUGGAGGGGUGUCACACUAAAUCCAGUCCCCAUAAGUAGCCUCCUGCCAUGACCUCCAGCAGUGGCCUUAGAGGGAAACUUCACCGACAAUCCGAAAUUUAAACCCGUACCUGUGCUGCAGUCAGUAUCAUUGUUGAGAAAAACAGCUUUUUUCAACUAAUAGUCUGGGUUUUUUUUUUUUUUUUACCAGCUUUGUGCUGCCUGGCCCUCCUACAAUUCCCAGAAUUCAUUGUGCCACAUCUGCAAAUUACAUUAAAAACAUUCUUGAUCACUUUAAUACAGAAACACAGACAGUUGUUUAGCCACACUGUAGAUGGUGUCGGAUCUUUGUGCUCUAAUCUAGAUUGUCUGGCUGUGUAAAAUUUUUAUUUGCAUGUAUUGUGGCUGUGUGCUAGCUUGGAGCUGACAGGAAGGAAGUGGCAGCACCAGCUCUAUAGUGCAUUGUGGGUAUUAGAGUGCAAAACUAGAAAAGAACUUUCAAUGGAAGGAAGUUGUAGUUUUUCUGCUGUCAGACAUGGAGGAAUGUUGAAUUUUUGGCAUUUCAGCAGCAUAUUACAGCCUUCAGUGUGUCUGAGGCAUCAUACCUGCCUGCUGAACCUCAAGGUAAGGAACGACAUGCAAAUUAAUCAGCAUUUUCUGCUAAAUUAUUCAAAUUUGGUAUUAAAUAUUCGGUGAAGUUACCCUUUAAAGCUAGAAAUGUUUUUCAGACCCCCACUACCUUAAAAAAAACUGUCCCCCACCCCGUACGCCUUACACCCUACCCCCUUUCACCUCAUGCGUUUCGUACACGCCUGCAGGUACCUUGGUGAGUGGUUAGGGGGGCACUAGUGUAAAGGAUAAUCUGCAAAGUCCCAGGCUGACUUUAGCCAACUGCUGCAAAGUCCCUGUCUGACCGCGUCUGGGCUAUUGGGCCCAGCCUGGACCCAUGGUGAACACCUUUAUUAACUGAAUCACUGGGGAGCCGUAUACCCCCCUCCCCUCUCCCCAAACUCAGUAUUUUAACAUUGCUAAAUUCACUAUGCUACUUUAUUUAGUAUAUUCUAAAGCUCAUAUCCACUGUAAGAAUAAAAGGCCAGUUGGAACAAAAUGAAGGCAAGACAUUGUAAGGAUAAGAACAGGCCAUUCAGCCCAUUUAGACUCACCAGUUACCUGAAGUAUACAGGCCUGUACUUCAGUACUGAAAUUCUGUUGAGAGAAAUUUAAGUUGGGGGGGCGGGGAGAGGGGGGGGAAUCUUGCAACUGUCUUUUGAAAGGUGUAAAUACAUGCGCAGUAUAUUAUAUAUCUAAAGGUAUAUAUUUAAGAAUCCACAUAAGAAAAUGAAAUAUUAGAAAUAUGAAUAGAUGAGUGGUGAAAUUUCAAAAUAUGAACAUAUUACUGUAUAAAUAUUACUGAUAUGUCUCACAGAUUUCUCUCAUUUUGUUGCUUUUUCGUCCCAGAGCUGUCCACACUCUCCCCCCCCCCCAAAAAAAAAACACCAAUAUGCUCCUUUUGUGCUCCUUUGUGCUCAGUCGGAAAUCCACCAUCAUUGCCCUGUUCUCUUUCACUGUAGAAGUGGAAUGCAAGCGCCGAGUACGAUACAGCGCCCCCGCUUGGUUGGGAGGGCUUUAUUACACAAAACACAAUGUAGCGCACCUGAACUUGGACAAGUACCCAGAAUGCAGUGUUUAACAUGUGGUGUCCUGUCCCCCCCCCCCCCCCCCCCCCUCUUAGGGGGGGCUGUGGUGCUCAGCAGAUGCAGUUUCUUUCCUUAUUGUCAUUUUUUUAAACUGAGUUCUGUGAAUGGUUUUAUUUGUGGUCUGUGAUCAGCUGUAACUGUUUUAGAUUGCAGUUUAAACUGGGCACGUGGAGCCCCCGCAGUCAUAGACUUUAUUAAGGGGACUGAAUGCCAGUCCGUCAGUCACCUAACACUAAAUGCAGGCGUAUAUACUGUAUAUGAGAUCAUUAUUUAUUAGUCUUAUUUAUUUAUUUAUUUUUGUGAUGUAUCACUUUUGACGUCUGCGUCGUACUCCACGCUAGGUGGGGGGAGAGGGGGUGAGAGUGAUGGCAGCUGUUCAGCUGCGGGAGGUUGUGACAGCUGUCACUCAGGUUGAUGGACCGGGAUCUUGCUGGGAGCGGGUUUUGAAGGUUCCGCUGGGCGUGGGUUCUGCUGGGUCCGCUGGGUCUGUGGCUCGGCUCAGCUGAAGGGAGCUGGCGGUCUGUGGGCUGCUGGGAGCCAGAAGGCCCAUCAGGCGGGUGACUGUGAGAUUCCCCCAGAAGGCCCAUCAGGCGGGUGACUGAGAUUUCCCCAGAAGGCCCAUCGGGCGGGUGACUGUGAGAUUUCCCCAGAAGGCCCAUCAGGCGGGUGACUGUGAGAUUCCCCCAGAAGGCCCAUUGGGCGGGUGACUGUGAGAUUCCCCCAGAAGGCCCAUCGGACGGGUGACUGUGAGUUUCGCUCAGUCCGUGCUGCUCUCCGCGGGUUUGGGAAAGGAAUGCCUCAUUCCGGAUCUUUCCGUGACCAAAAACUGUUCCAGGCUAACCAAUGACAUGGACUGUUCACUUCGUCUGGCCACGCCCCUCACCUGUCACCUGUCACAAUGCUAGGACCUCCUCACACACACCUGUACACAUCCACGUAUAUACACGCUCACAUGCACCUGUGCUCUCACACACACACACACACACACACACUCAGACACACUGGUGUAUACAGGCGUCAAGUACGCACAAAUGCGCAUACACAUAUAUACACAUACACGCUUGGACACACGCUCGUACACACACAUCUGUAUAUACACUAAUACACGUACACACACACACACACUGUCACACAAACACUUAUUCAUACUGACAUUAUUUCCCACCUCAGAGCAUGAUGAAUUAUGGGAGAGUAGUUAUGAUGUGGAAUAACGGGAUAUAACUGUGAAAGGGAGGGGCCCGUUUCCAUAGUUACCCAUCAUGGGGGGGUGGGGGGGUUCCGUGUGUUGGGCUGUGAUAGUGGAUUUGCUGGAGAAGGAACCCACCUUAGGGUUCCUAGGCAACUGUUGCAGCCUGGGGACUGUUGCCUAGGUACAAUAAUGUUUCCGGAGCUUUAGUCUAGUGGUACAUUUUUGAGAGAGCACUAGUGUUAUAAUUAUGAUUAUUGUGACGUAUUGAAUUCUGUUGUUUUCACACAUGUAGUCGAGGCCUUUCCCUGCUUGACCUUUGCUGUAAGCAUCGCCCUUGACCCCUGACCUCUGACAUUGGUCCAUCUUCUCCUAUCACUCCUUGUUCCUGGUUCAGUAAACUCUAGACACUAUUGGUGGUUCUCCAAUUCUGCCCUCCCAAUAGUCUUCCUUGCUGUAAAUAAACAGAAUUGUACAUAGGUUUUAGUCAUUUGUGUGAAUUGUGCUGAAAUGACUCCAGGUUUGCAAAAAAAGAACAAAAAACAAAAAAACGAACACAAAGCAUCUUUUCUUUUCGUUCUAGUACUGCUUGUGAAUGACUGUACUUACAAAGCAAUAUUUAAAAAAAUGGAAAAUACAUUUUUACAGCGUGGGAGUUUUUUUUUUGACCGUUUAAAGAUGUAGGGCAAGUGUUCAUCGGCAGGUAUGUGGCAGUGCUUUGUGUUAGAACGGGAGGGUGAGGGGCCUCGUUCUGGGGGACCUGCAGCGUGUGGAGUUUGACUGGUCGGGUCUGUGCAGUCUGGUGCAGUCUGCUGUUGAUUGCUGGGUUAAGUCUGGUUUUGAUUAGCUGAGUCUGGGUUCAGUCUGGUGUUGAUUAGCUGAGUCUGGGUUCAGGCUGGUGUUGAUUAGCUGAGUCUGGGUUCAGGCUGGUGUUGAUUAGCUGAGUCUGGGUUCAGUGUGGUGUUGAUUAGCUGAGUCUGGGUUCAGGCUGGUGUUGAUUAGGUGAGUCUGGGUUAAGUCUGGUGCUGAUUAGCUGAGUCUGGGUUCAGGCUGGUGUUGAUUAGCUGAGUCUGGGUUCAGUCUGGUGUUGAUUAGCUGAGUCUGGGUUCAGGCUGGUGUUGAUUAGCUGAGUCUGGGUUCAGUCUGGUGCUGAUUAGCUGAGUCUGGGUUCAGUCUGGUGUUGAUUAGCUGAGUCUGGGUUCAGGCUGGUGUUGAUUAGCUGAGUCUGGGUUCAGUCUGGUGCUGAUUAGCUGAGUCUGGGUUCAGGCUGGUGUUGAUUAGCUGAGUCUGGGUUCAGGCUGGUGUUGAUUAGCUGAGUCUGGGUUCAGUCUGGUGUUGAUUAGCUGAGUCUGGGUUCAGUCUGGUGUUGAUUAGCUGAGUCUGGGUUCAGUCUGGUGUUGAUUAGCUGAGUCUGGGUUCAGGCUGGUGUUGAUUAGCUGAGUCUGGGUUCAGUCUGGUGCUGAUUAGCUGAGUCUGGGUUCAGGCUGGUGUUGAUUAGCUGAGUCUGGGUUCAGGCUGGUGUUGAUUAGGUGAGUCUGGGUUAAGUGUAGUGCUGAUUAGCUGAGUCUGGGUUCAGUCUGGUGUUGAUUAGCUGAGUCUGGGUUCAGUCUGGUGUUGAUUAGCUGAGUCUGGGUUCAGUCUGGUGUUGAUUAGCUGAGUCUGGGUUCAGUCUGGUGUUGAUUAGUUGAGUCUGGGUUCAGGCUGGUGUUGACUUUGGAAGUGAGUGGGUGACAUCUGCACCAGCUGAACUAUGUCAAACAACUCAGAACCUGUUGGGGAGAUGAGACAGGAAGUGAAAAUCAAUGUUUUGACAGCUUCGCCUCUUUUUUAGGUUUCAAAAAAAAAAAAUACCAACCCUAUGAUCUCACACUGAAGGAGCUGUGUCCUGGUAAAUACUGCUUGUAGAACAGGUACUGUGGUAGAUCUGUGGUAAUCUUAGAUGUUACAAAUGUGGAAUCGCUGCUGUUCUGAUAUUUUACCUUCCUCGUAGUCCGUUCGGAUCGACUGAAUAUAUUGGUGACGGUAAUUCAGUUCAAUUAAAAAGUACAAACCUGGAAAGAAAUCUCCUGAAAUGUAAUAAAAGCCAGAAGACUGUUACUCUGAAACACGUGGAGAACGCCCCUGGGUCUCUGCCCAUCGGGACACCCCAGGGGUCUCUGCCCAUCGGAACGCCCCCGGGGUCUCUGCCCAUCGGAACGCCCCAGGGGUCUCUGCCCAUCGGGACGCCCCCCGGGUCUCUGCCCAUCGGGACGCCCCCCGGGUCUCUGCCCAUCGGAACGCCCCAGGGGUCUCUGCCCAUCGGAACGCCCCAGGGGUCUCUGCCCAUCGGGACGCCCCAGGGUCUCUGCCCAUCGUGCGCGGUGGCAGUGGAAUGGGGGGGUUUCUGGGGCUCAAGGUUCUCCGCUCCAGGAGCGCAGUGCGGUCCUCCGAGAUCCGCGCGGCAGGUCUGGGUUCCGGCUCUCGCGUGUGCGGUCCAGCCAAAAACACAGAGGAAGACGCGUUGGGCAGGACCACAAGGGUCACGCACGAAGUGUGUGCAAAACUGUUCUCAGCGUGUGCGUGUGCGUGUGCGUGUUCUGUGGGGAAUAUGCUCUAGUAGACCAUUCCUGAUGACUUAUGACAACUUUUUUAUUUAUUUUUUCCUUCGAGUGUUGCUCUUUUCAGAAUUUUUUCUUACCUAUUAUAUUAUUUUUAUGUUUUUGCGAUCGUACAUCAUGCAUCAAAUGAAGAAUUGCACAAUACUGCAGAUUUUGACUUACAUAGAUUUUUACACUUGUUUUAUGGAAAUAAAAUAUAUUUAAGAAAAGAAAAAACAUUCAUUAUUCAGUUUAGCAGUAGUUUACACAAUUACAGUGAGAAAAAAAUGAACUGUGUCAAAAUGUUAGAUUGUGAGCAUUUCCUGAGCUGCUGUACAUGUUGUGGAACAAUAAAUAAAGUCAAAAAUAAAAGUUUGUGCUGUCAAUAA